AGUGAACGCUGGCGGUAGCCCUAACACAUGCAAGUCGAACGGCAGCACAGUAAGAGCUUGCUCUUACGGGUGGCGAGUGGCGGACGGGUGAGGAAUACAUCGGAAUCUACUUUUUCGUGGGGGAUAACGUGGGGAAACUUACGCUAAUACCGCAUACGACCUACGGGUGAAAGCAGGGGAUCUUCGGACCUUGCGCGAUUGAAUGAGCCGAUGUCGGAUUAGCUAGUUGGCGGGGUAAAGGCCCACCAAGGCGACGAUCCGUAGCUGGUCUGAGAGGAUGAUCAGCCACACUGGAACUGAGACACGGUCCAGACUCCUACGGGAGACAGCAGUGGGGAAUAUUGGACAAAGGGCGCAAGCCUGAUCCAGCCAUACCGCGUGGGUGAAGAAGGCCUUCGGGUUGUAAAGCCCUUUUGUUGGGAAAGAAAAGCAGCAGGUUAAUACCCCGCUGUUCUGACGGUACCCAAAGAAUAAGCACCGGCUAACUUCGUG
rnacentral:rRNA from 1 species